rnacentral:rRNA from 1 species
GCAAUCCUGGUGGCGAGUGGCGAACGGGUGAGUAAUACAUCGGAACGUGUCCUGUAGUGGGGGAUAGCCCGGCGAAAGCCGGAUUAAUACCGCAUACGCUCUGCGGAGGAAAGCGGGGGAUCCUUCGGGACCUCGCGCUACAGGGGCGGCCGAUGGCAGAUUAGCUAGUUGGUGGGGUAAAGGCCUACCAAGGCGACGAUCUGUAGCUGGUCUGAGAGGACGACCAGCCACACUGGGACUGAGACACGGCCCAGACUCCUACGGGAGGCAGCAGUGGGGAAUUUUGGACAAUGGGCGCAAGCCUGAUCCAGCAAUGCCGCGUGUGUGAAGAAGGCCUUCGGGUUGUAAAGCACUUUUGUCCGGAAAGAAAACCUCGUGGUUAAUACCCGUGGGGGAUGACGGUACCGGAAGAAUAAGCACCGGCUAAC